GCUGCUGCUGUGGUUCCACCCCUCGCCUGGGAAUUUCCAUAUGCCACAGGUAUGGCCCUAAAAAAAGGGAAAAAGGCCGACAAUAUCAAGUUCUGGCAAGGAUUUGAAUUAAUACUGAAUUUUCACACCUUUUUGGUGAGAGCAUAAUUUGAAACAAAGUAAAGAUAUUUGUGCCCGGUCCCCCAACAAUUCUGCUCUUCAAUAUACAGAACUAAAAGUACCUGUGUAUUCACCCAAAGUCAUGCACAAAAAUGUGAUAGCAGUACAUAAUAUUGAGGAGCAAAAGGAGGAAAAAUGCAUGUGACAGCAGACAUCAAAACAGUUGUUACCUUUGGGAAGAGGCAGGUGGUGAUAGAGGGGGGAGAUGGUGACUGUGAGGGGGCCUGAGGGGUCGCUGGUCACAUCUAUGUGUUUACUUUGUGAAACUCCAUUGAGCCGUACCCUUACCUGAAUAUGUUAUACUUUAUAAAACAUUUAAUUCUUAAAAUCUUGUGGAAGGCAAAUAACAGAGAAAAAAAUAGAAAUGUUUUCAUAAAACUAAAAGUCCCUUUGUUUUGAAGAAGACAAAAUUGCUCUGUGUAAAGCACUGCUCUGUAUGGGUGAAGAAGACACCUGGGGUAGACCUUUUAAAUGCAGUUAUGAUGUAAAAUCAGAGACUUCUACAUGCUACACCAGUCUCAGCAACAUAAACAAAUGCCAAAGAAGAACAGACAGAAAAUUGAAGAAAACUAGCCAUACAAAUCUGGAGAACCAAAAACAAACAAAAUGUUUCUAAGAAAUCAAAUUGGAGAAGUAAAAAUACAUGUUUUAUAUGAUAAUCAAACCACUCUGCCCAUGGGGAUUUUGGGAAUCUGCCUUCUCAGAAUGAAAGCCACGGGUUACCAUGCAGGGCAAGGAUAAAGGAAGAAAAAGGUACAUUGCAUAACGAAAGGGCAUCAGAAUGAGUAGAAGAUAAUUCCCUUGGACGUGAAAUGCAAUCAAGUCAAGACCCAUAUUUUAUCUCUGCUGGAGGCAGGCUUAUUUGUUAGUAAAGUGCUGGGAUAAUCAACCAUUGUUCUGCCUGCCAAGACUGUCAAAACAAAUACAAGCUUCUUUGCUCAGUGCUAAAAAUGUCUGAGCCUUUAGAGAACAGCUGGGCAAAAAGCAAUCUUGUUCAAUUUCAGCACAUUUUUCCCCAAGUAUUAGGCUGUCCAAAUGCAACCCACAUCAAAGCAUCCCCAACACUCACUGCAGGGACAGACCUGUCAUGCAAACACGGCCUAUCAAACUUGAGCAAGCAGAACGCACAAUGAAACUACUUUAAACUUGUCCAACUCCACGUCUAAAGGAGCAAGGACUUUGAAGCAUAAAAAAGCUACUCUAAACAAAUAAUUUCUUUCAGUUGCUUUCUAUAAUGUUAAAGAAAUAAUGUUGGUCUGCUUGCAAAAUUCUGUGUCUUGAUGAGGCUCUGGGACAUGAGAAAUGUUUCAUGAUCUCUUAGCUCUCUAUACCAGUAUGGCCUAAGGGACACCUUCUCCUGAGCAUUUUCAGAAUUAUUCUCUAGUUUCUAAAUUCAGCUUUUAUCAAAGCAUGCCUUUUUGUGGCUUUGUGAUAUAUAUUAAUUAGGAGGUAUAUCAAUUAAGAUGUAUGGGGAUGCAAGUAACAAAAAAUUAAAAAUCAACCCAGCUGACUUAAUAUUUCUUUCAUCAAGUAACAAGAAUCUAGGGUGUAAUGUACAAGAUGGUAACUACAGUUAAUAAAACUAAAUUACAUAUUUGAAAGUCAAUAAGAGAGUAGACCUUAAAAGCUCUCAUUACAAGAAAACAAAAUUUAAACUGUAUAUGGUGGCAGAUGUUAAAUAGACUUAUUUUGACCAUUUGGCAAUAUAUACAACUAUCAAAUCAUUAUGUUGCCUGCCUGAUAUCAAUAUAAUUUAUAGGUCAAUUAUACAUAAAAUUUUUAAAUAAAUAAAUAGAGGAAGUUUCCACUGUGGUGCAGUGGGUUAUAGAUCCAGCAUGGGUUGCAGCUGCAGUUCGGAUUCUACCCCUGGUCCAGGAAACUCCAUAUGCCACGGGUGCAGCCAUACAAAAUUAAUUAAUUAAACAAGAAUCCCAGAGGUAAAGCAGUCCCAGUUGGGUUAACUCAGUAGCUCAAAUGGGUCAUCAAAGGGCCAAUUCUUUGCAUAUUUCAGUUCUCUUAUCCUCAUACUAGGUCCCCUCAUGGUCGUAAUAUGGCUGCAACAGUUCCAAGCAUCGCACCCAGAUACUUAAAUGUUAGAAUAGGAAGUGUUCCUGUGAGUUUCUUUCUAUCAAUGAGAAAAAUAUCCUUGUAGAAGGCAAAGAUUCCUCAUCAUGUUUUAUUGGUCAUAAUUGUGUCAUAUGCCCAUGUCUAAACCAAAAGGGAUCAAUCACAAUACAACCAUUAGACUAAUUUACUUCUAAACACAAGGAUAAGGUGACCUUUCUAGGACUGAUAUGAGGGAGGGAUGGACACCCAAAUAUGUGUGGGAUCCUGCCAGUGAAGAAGGAAGGGGAAUAAGCUGUUAGGUAGGCAACCAUCUGUUUCUGCUAAAAUUAGGAUGCAGGGCAAAAUAUGUUUAGCUAACUAGAUUGAAUUUUGUCUUAGCCAUGGGAUAUGCAGAAAACUUUUUAGGUGGUGACACUGGUUACUGAAAAUUAUUCUAAAAUAUAUUAAUUUCCUUUCUCCCCUGUAAAGGAAUGUAAAGUAGAAUGACACCUUUGGUAACUCCAGGCCAUGACACUCCUCUUCUUCUGCCCUUUGAGAUCUCCUCUUUUAUCCCCAUCCUCAGGUAGGCAGGAGUGAGCCUCGACAUCCAUGUCUGUACAAUGGGCUCCUGAGUCCCUGGCCAUAGAUGAUUGGAGCUGAGGUAUGGACGGUGGACCCCCAACUGGACUGAUCAGCUUCUCUUCCCUAGGAAUUUGGAAUGGAAACACCAUCUGAUUGCAUCAGUUUCUUCAUGUGCUUGGGCCUGUAACACAAAAUCUCCAGAAUGAUUAGGCAACUGUUCUUCUGCCAUUUGGAAUGUGAAAAUAAAGCUGAUAUUUGGGAAAGUACAAGUAAGAUAGGUAUAUGGAGAGACAGACACUCCAUAAGUCCCCUUGAUAUCCACCUCCCCCCGUCCCCAUACACACUCACCUAUAUCCAGAUCCAAAUGAGCUUGGGGAAGUUUACAUUAUUUGCAGCCAAAGAGUCCUAACCCAUACCUAGGAACACAACACCCCUUUUCCAGAGUGACUAAGGAUUCUGCAACAGUUUAAGGUUAUCAUUAAGAACCUCCAGUCUCAUUAGUCAUAACUCUAUGUGCAGAAAACAAAGGACAAUGAGUCAUACCUGUCAUAAGUUCACCCCAGAAGUUGCUACAAAAGUUGCCUUUGUUCCAUGUAAAUCCUCUCUAUGGUUCAGUUUCUAAAGCUUUAACUCUUUUCCUUAAAAAUGUAUUUAAAUUAAACACUCCACAGUAAGGACAACUAUCAGCUGAGUGGCAUCUGUUGUGUUGUGUUGUGUGUUGGAGAACCAGAGAAUUGGCCUCCUACAUACUGAGUUCCAGCUAUUUGCUUUCUGUGUAUUGCCUACUUCCAUCCUCACCACAUACUAUGUAGCAAUCACUAUAAACCAUUUUACCAAUGAGGAAUCCAGGUCUCAGAGAAGCGCAUUGAUUUUUUUUUUUUUUUUAAUGUUCAUAGGGCUAGAAAGCCAUGGAGGAAGAUUUUAAACCCAGAUCUGCAGAGAACCAAAGCUAAUGAUGAUGUUUUCACUACUCCACAUUGUGAUACCAAAACAAACAAACAAACAAAAACUGUGACUGAUCUGAUAUCCUGUAGGUAAAUUCUGAUUAACAGGCUUUUGACCUUGGCUAUGUUAAAUGUCUGUCAUAAUAACAUCAAAUAUUUUAUAUAUUCAGGUACAGGGAGGAUGACCUGUUAGACCCAAUCUAUUAAGGAUAUUUCUGCAUUUUCUAAAUUAAUCAUUGCUACAUCUAGUAGGAGCAGAGGACAAUAAUUUUUCACACCUUAUUCAUAAGGGUGGAAUACCCAAAAGCCAGAGAAGAGUCCAGGGCAACCUCUAGGGCUUCAUCCAGGGCAACCUCCACAUGGCAGACAAGGGCUGAUCCCCACCAGAGGACAAUUCCUUAUUUAGUCUAUAUUUACUUGGGAAGCUGGACCACAUCAGAGUAGGCGCCUAUGCAUCUAACCUCACCUCCGUCUAAGAGCCCGGCAUCAUCAUUAUCCUCAUUUUCUCUACUUGGAUCUGCCUCUUACCAGAAUGCCUGAGGACUAAAUUUUCUCAAAACACUUUCCACAGAGCCAUGUCUUGGACCACCGGGGUGACCCAGCCUGCAUGACACAGCGCUGGGCAGGGUACCCGCAAGUCACUCAAAUCACCUUGGCCAGCAGUUCACCUUGCAGCCCUCCCCUGGGAAUGGUGUGACCCGGCAGGGAAGAGCUGCAUUAGGCAGCCCCCUCGAGGCCCUUUGGCACAGUCUGCUGGAGAGCUGAGCACUCAGCCAAAGUCUGCAGGAAGCUUCCCUUGGUAAGAUUUGUUGGAGCUACUUUCUGCUUCUAUUUUCUAUCCCCAUUCCUGUUUUAGUAUCUGUUUUUGUUUCCAAAUUAUGACACGGCAUGAAAUCUGCCUUCUCUGUUCUCCUGUGGAACCAGGAGGUGUAUGAGUAAGUAGGUAUUUAAUACGUCAAAAGAGCAGGUCCUUCUCCUCACUUCUUAUCUAUGGCUUUAGGAGUUCAACACCCUUCUUUUGUCUUUUGUCCCUCAGCCCAAAUCACACCCAAAAGAUGCUCGAUCCUCUCUAGAUAUGGUGACUUAAAAAAAUAUGGACACUGGAUACAAAUAGAACAGAUUCAACAACUAACAUUGACUAAGUGCUUAUGCUCUGCCGAGUGCCUCAUAAUAGACACCUUAUCGCAUUGAAUUCUCACAGCAAGCCUGGGACAGUGUUGUA